AAAUUUAAAUAUGUGAAAAUAUGUUGAACUUAUAAUACGCAGGAGUUACAGACUAAAAGAACAGGAUGCUAAACGCUUUCAAGUAUUUAAAUUUCAACAUUUAAGUUUGAAAACAUUUUGUUAAUAAACUUUUAGCUUUAAAAUAUCAAAACAGAUUAUU
rnacentral:sRNA from 1 species